rnacentral:rRNA from 1 species
GACGAACGCUGGCGGCGUGCUUAACACAUGCAAGUCGAACGAUGAAGCCCUUCGGGGUGGAUUAGUGGCGAACGGGUGAGUAACACGUGGGCAAUCUGCCCUUCACUCUGGGACAAGCCCUGGAAACGGGGUCUAAUACCGGAUAACACUUCUUCGGGCAUCUGAAGAGGUUAAAAGCUCCGGCGGUGAAGGAUGAGCCCGCGGCCUAUCAGCUUGUUGGUGGGGUAAUGGCCUACCAAGGCGACGACGGGUAGCCGGCCUGAGAGGGCGACCGGCCACACUGGGACUGAGACACGGCCCAGACUCCUACGGGAGGCAGCAGUGGGGAAUAUUGCACAAUGGGCGAAAGCCUGAUGCAGCGACGCCGCGUGAGGGAUGACGGCCUUCGGGUUGUAAACCUCUUUCAGCAGGGAAGAAGCGAAAGUGACGGUACCUGCAGAAGAAGCGCCGGCUAACUACGUGCCAGCAGCCGCGGUAAUACGUAGGGCGCAAGCGUUGUCCGGAAUUAUUGGGCGUAAAGAGCUCGUAGGCGGCUUGUCGCGUCGGAUGUGAAAGCCCGGGGCUUAACCCCGGGUCUGCAUUCGAUACGGGCAGGCUAGAGUGUGGUAGGGGAGAUCGGAAUUCCUGGUGUAGCGGUGAAAUGCGCAGAUAUCAGGAGGAACACCGGUGGCGAAGGCGGAUCUCUGGGCCAUUACUGACGCUGAGGAGCGAAAGCGUGGGGAGCGAACAGGAUUAGAUACCCUGGUAGUCCACGCCGUAAACGUUGGGAACUAGGUGUUGGCGACAUUCCACGUCGUCGGUGCCGCAGCUAACGCAUUAAGUUCCCCGCCUGG